UACCCAGUUACCUCUUUCGCUCUCUCUCUCUUUCUCUCUCUCUCUCCCCGCCCUAUCUCACUCUCCUUUUCCUCUUUCUCUCUCUCUCUCUCUCUCUCUCUCUCCUCGUUUUCCCGUCUCCUUUGCCUCUUGGGAGUAUCUUCGAGGGCGAGAGCGAGCCGAGAAUCGGAGGAGACGGAGAAAUCGUGCUCACUACGCAGCAAUGUGCUCGACAUUGACCGACCGGUGGAAGUGGUGACGGAGGAGGACGAUGAUGGGGGCGGUUCCGGAGUGUAGGGAUCGGUAGAUGCCCUAGAGGAGUGGAGGAAGGAGGAGGGAAGAGAUGAAGGCUCCAAUGGCGUCGGUGAAGAGGAGGUGGAGGGGCCCCUCCGUGGCGGUGCUCGCCCUCGUCUUCUGCUCGCUCCUCGUCCCCCUCGCCUUCCUCUUCGGCCGCUUCCCUUCCGGUUACGGAACUGACGAGCGGCCACAGCAGGAAGUUGGGUUUCACUCUUUCGGUCAGGCGGAAAGGGUCAAAAAAUCGCCAGUGG